GGCGGACGGGUGAGUAACACGUGGGUAACCUACCCAUCAGAGGGGGAUAACACUUGGAAACAGGUGCUAAUACCGCAUAACAGUUUAUGCCGCAUGGCAUAAGAGUGAAAGGCGCUUUCGGGUGUCGCUGAUGGAUGGACCCGCGGUGCAUUAGCUAGUUGGUGAGGUAACGGCUCACCAAGGCCACGAUGCAUAGCCGACCUGAGAGGGUGAUCGGCCACACUGGGACUGAGACACGGCCCAGACUCCUACGGGAGGCAGCAGUAGGGAAUCUUCGGCAAUGGACGAAAGUCUGACCGAGCAACGCCGCGUGAGUGAAGAAGGUUUUCGGAUCGUAAAACUCUGUUGUUAGAGAAGAACAAGGACGUUAGUAACUGAACGUCCCCUGACGGUAUCUAACCAGAAAGCCACGGCUAACUACGUGCCAGCAGCCGCGGUAAUACGUAGGUGGCAAGCGUUGUCCGGAUUUAUUGGGCGUAAAGCGAGCGCAGGCGGUCUCUUAUGUCUGAUGUGAAAGCCCCCGGCUCAACCGGGGAGGGUCAUUGGAAACUGCGAGACUUGAGUGCAGAAGAGGAGAGUGGAAUUCCAUGUGUGGCGGUGAAAUGCGUAUAUAUAUGGAGGAACACCAGUGGGCGAAGGCGGCUCUCUGGUCUG
rnacentral:rRNA from 1 species